rnacentral:rRNA from 1 species
GACGAACCGUGCGAACGUUGUUCGGAAUCACUGGGCUUAAAGGGCGCGUAGGCGGGCUAUCAAGUCCGGGGUGAAAUCCUCCAGCUCAACUGGAGAACGGCCUCGGAUACUGAUGGUCUCGAGGAGGAUAGGGGCACACGGAACUGUGGGUGGAGCGGUGAAAUGCGUUGAUAUCCAUAGGAACUCCGGUGGCGAAAGCGGUGUGCUGGAUCCUUUCUGACGCUGAGGCGCGAAAGCCAGGGGAGCAAAC